AGCAGUGCUCUAUAUAACAAAAACAUUUGAGAUAAAUAUGUGUUGGCUGACACAGUGAAUGUACACAUGCUAUGUCCUCUCUGCAUACAAAUCAGAAAUCAAAAGACUACAGUUGAGACUUCAGAAGAUGAAUGUUAACCCACUCCAGCUUUCCAGUCAGGAUUUGUUAGCCCCAUUCUGCAGACAUGGCAAACAGCACCCUAGAACUGUCUGACAACUCAAUUUCUAAAUAACUCCAGUAGCAGAACCCAAACAACCAUGCAAAUUCCUGAAGGCAAUCUGGAACCAAAUCAACGGUCUCUUCAUGUUACACUCCUAAUAACCACACUGACAGCUUGCUCUCUUAAACUGAUAUCCAAAUCAAACGAAUUCAUGUCAGUUUUCACUACUAUUAAUUACCUAGGAAAAAAACUUUUCUUAGAUGUCCAAAGGUGCUAAAAGCAAAUAUAAUACUUAAUCAAUAAGACAAAAAUAGUGGUCAGACAGGCUGUAUGGAUACGGGAUGCCAAAAUAAUCAGCCUCUUCCUGCAGAGCAACACGGGUUUGCUCAUCCGUGGGAAUGUGAACUUCUCCGUGAAGAUAAUCCAAGAGAGGAAAACGCCCACUAAACAUGGAUGCCAGCAUCGAGUCUUUAAAACGGCACAAGGACUCAC